ACUUCAUCCAGUAAUGCCACUGUGUCGGGAUGAUCUGGAGAUUCUGUCAAACGCCGGAUGAGCAGAUUCCUCUUGUGAAUGAUCCCAUCCAGUUCGUUGAUGUGUUCUCUGUAGUAAUUGCCAUCAUCUUCUCCGAAUACCUCUUCAAGUCUGGAUUUCUUCAAACUUGCCAGCGUCUUGAGUUCUUCGAUAUAUCCUUGAGCCUCAU
rnacentral:lncRNA from 1 species